rnacentral:rRNA from 1 species
CUGCCUUGUAGCGGGGGAUAACUAUUGGAAACGAUAGCUAAUACCGCAUAACAAUGGAUGACACAUGUCAUUUAUUUGAAAGGGGCAAUUGCUCCACUACAAGAUGGACCUGCGUUGUAUUAGCUAGUAGGUGAGGUAACGGCUCACCUAGGCGACGAUACAUAGCCGACCUGAGAGGGUGAUCGGCCACACUGGGACUGAGACACGGCCCAGACUCCUACGGGAGGCAGCAGUAGGGAAUCUUCGGCAAUGGGGGCAACCCUGACCGAGCAACGCCGCGUGAGUGAAGAAGGUUUUCGGAUCGUAAAGCUCUGUUGUAAGUCAAGAACGAGUGUGAGAGUGGAAAGUUCACACUGUGACGGUAGCUUACCAGAAAGGGACGGCUAACUACGUGCCAGCAGCCGCGGUAAUACGUAGGUCCCGAGCGUUGUCCGGAUUUAUUGGGCGUAAAGCGAGCGCAGGCGGUUUGAUAAGUCUGAAGUUAAAGGCUGUGGCUCAACCAUAGUUCGCUUUGGAAACUGUCAAACUUGAGUGCAGAAGGGGAGAGUGGAAUUCCAUGUGUAGCGGUGAAAUGCGUAGAUAUAUGGAGGAACACCGGUGGCGAAAGCGGCUCUCUGGUCU